rnacentral:rRNA from 1 species
CCUACGGGAGGCAGCAGUGGGGGAUAUUGCACAAUGGGGGAAACCCUGAUGCAGCGACGCCGCGUGUGGGAAGACGGUCCUCUGGAUUGUAAACCACUGUUCUCAAGGACGAAAAUGACGGUACCUGGGGAGGAAGCUCCGGCUAACUACGUGCCAGCAGCCGGGGUAAUAGGUAGGGGCCGGGGGUUGUCCGGAUUUACUGGGGGAAAGGGGAGCUUAGGGGGGGAUGAAGGUCGUGUGUAAAGACUACCGGCUAAACUGAGAGUCGCACUCUAAACUGUAGUUCUUGAGUGAAGGAGAGGCAGGCGGAAUUCCUGGUGUAGCGGUGAAAUGCGUAGAUAUUAGGAGGAACACCAGUGGCGAAGGCGGCCUGCUAGGCUUUUACUGACGCUGAGGCUCGAAAGUGUGGGGAGCAAACAGGAUUAGAUACCCGUGUAGUC